UUGGAGGGCAAGUCUGGUGCCAGCAGCCGCGGUAAUUCCAGCUCCAAUAGCGUAUAUUAAAGUUGCUGCAGUUAAAAAGCUCGUAGUUGAAUUUCGGGACCAUCAUGUCGGUCGUGCUUCGGUACGUACUGGCAUUGUUGGUUUCUACCUUCUGACGAACCAUGAUGUCAUUUAUUUGGUGUCGUGGGAAAUCAGGACUGUUACUUUGAAAAAAUUAGAGUGUUUAAAGCAGGCUCACGCUUGAAUACAUUAGCAUGGAAUAAUGAAAUAGGACGUUUGAUUCUAUUUAGUUGGUUUCUAGGAUCGACGUAAUGAUUAAUAGGGAUAGUUGGGGGCAUUAGUAUUCAAUUGUCAGAGGUGAAAUUCUUGGAUUUAUUGAAGACUAACUACUGCGAAAGCAUUUGCCAAGGAUGUUUUCAUUAAUCAAGAACGAAAGUUAGGGGAUCGAAGACGAUCAGAUACCGUCGUAGUCUUAACCAUAAACUAUGCCGACUAGGGAUCGGAUGAUGUUAAUUUUUUAAUGACUCAUUCGGCGCCUUACGGGAAAC
rnacentral:rRNA from 1 species